rnacentral:rRNA from 1 species
GACGAACGCUGGCGGCGUGCCUAAUACAUGCAAGUAGAACGCUGAAGGAGGAGCUUGCUUCUCUGGAUGAGUUGCGAACGGGUGAGUAACGCGUAGGUAACCUGCCUGGUAGCGGGGGAUAACUAUUGGAAACGAUAGCUAAUACCGCAUAAGAGUAGAUGUUGCAUGACAUUUGCUUAAAAGGUGCAAUUGCAUCACUACCAGAUGGAACUGCGUUGUAUUAGCUAGUUGGUGGGGUAACGGCUCACCAAGGCGACGAUACAUAGCCGACCUGAGAGGGUGAACGGCCAAACUGGGACUGAGACACGGCCCAGACUCCUACGGGAGGCAGCAGUAGGGAAUCUUCGGCAAUGGACGGAAGUCUGACCGAGCAACGCCGCGUGAGUGAAGAAGGUUUUCGGAUCGUAAAGCUCUGUUGUAAGAGAAGAACGAGUGUGAGAGUGGAAAGUUCACACUGUGACGGUAUCUUACCAGAAAGGGACGGCUAACUACGUG